ACUGAAUAGAUACCCGGGUAGUCCACGCCGUAAACGAUGAUCACUUGGUGUUGCAGGUAUUGACCCCUGCAGUGCCGAAAGCUAACGCGUUAAGUGAUCCGCCUGGGAAGUACGGUCGCAAGAUUAAAACUCAAAGAAAUUGACGGGGGCCCGCACAAGCGGUGGAGCAUGUGGUUCAAUUCGAUGCAACGCGAAAAACCUUACCUGGGUUUGAAGUGCUAGUGAAUGCUGUAGAGAUAUGGCAGGCCUUCGGGACACUAGUAUCAGGUGCUGCAUGGCUGUCGUCAGCUCGUGUCGUGGGAUGUCGGUUAAGUCCCAUAACGAGCGCAACCCUUGUCUUUAGUUGCCAGCAUUAAGUUGGGCACUCUAGAGAGACUGCCGACGUUAAGUCGGAGGAAGGUGGGGAUGACGUCAAGUCCUCAUGGCCUUAUGUCCAGGGCUACACACGUGCUACAAUGGUCGAUACAAGGGCUGCGAUACCGUGAGGUGGAGCUAAU
rnacentral:rRNA from 1 species